CAACUUCCUAGAGCUGGAGCUGAAAGGACACGCCCCCUGAGGUGCCAGUCUGAAGAGAAUCUAGCACAACAAUUGUAGCAAUGAAUGCGGAGAUCCCUGGAUCCAUGUCAGGUACAGGGCUCGCUCUAGCUUUGUUAGAAA